UUGUUUCACAGACUCUAAGUGAAAUCAUGUUGGACGAUGGGAAGCUUCAGCCACAGAACAAUUCUUUUUUUAUUUUCCUCCCUGAUGUGUGGAAUUAAGUUUUCAUCAAUAUUGCUUUUCUUUCCAACAGGAGAAGGAAUGAGCCAGGCGGCUACCAUAUGCAAGUCCAAUUUUAAGUACAUGUACUGGACGAUGCUGCAGCAGCUCACUCACCACUCUGUCAACGGCUGCAACCUGCAGCCGGGGGACCUCCUGGCUUCUGGGACCAUCAGCGGGCCGGAACCAGAAAACUUCGGCUCCAUGUUGGAACUGUCAUGGAAGGGAACGAAGCCCAUAGACCUGGGGAAUGGUCAGACCAGGAAGUUUCUGCUGGACGGGGAUGAAGUCAUCAUAACAGGGUACUGCCAGGGGGAUGGUUACCGCGUCGGCUUUGGCCAGUGUGCUGGAAAAGUGCUGCCUGCUCUCUUGCCAUCAUGAGAUUUUCUCUGCUCUUCUGGAAACAAAGGUCUCAAGCACCACUUUCAACCCUGUGACUGGGGUCCUCCCUCGGGCUGUAGGCCUGGUCCUCCAUUCAGUGACAAAUAAAACCAUUGUGCUCUGAGGCCUGCACUGCUGCAGG
rnacentral:sRNA from 1 species